GUGGUAAUGCCGGAUGUUCCACAUGAUCGCAUGUGAUUGUGGGAAAGAUUCUAUCGGCGUGGGAUGGGGUCGCGUCCUAUCAGCUUGUUGGUGAGGUAACGGCUCACCAAGGCUUCGACGGGUAGCCGGCCUGAGAGGGCGACCGGCCACAUUGGGACUGAGAUACGGCCCAGACUCCUACGGGAGGCAGCAGUGGGGAAUAUUGCACAAUGGGCGCAAGCCUGAUGCAGCGACGCCGCGUGAGGGAUGGAGGCCUUCGGGUUGUAAACCUCUUUUGUUUGGGAGCAAGCCUUCGGGUGAGUGUACCUUUCGAAUAAGCGCCGGCUAACUACGUGCCAGCAGCCGCGGUAAUACGUAGGGCGCAAGCGUUAUCCGGAUUUAUUGGGCGUAAAGGGCUCGUAGGCGGCUCGUCGCGUCCGGUGUGAAAGUCCAUCGCUUAACGGUGGAUCUGCGCCGGGUACGGGCGGGCUGGAGUGCGGUAGGGGAGACUGGAAUUCCCGGUGUAACGGUGGAAUGUGUAGAUAUCGGAA
rnacentral:rRNA from 1 species